rnacentral:rRNA from 1 species
UGAGGAAUAUUGGUCAAUGGGCGGGAGCCUGAACCAGCCAAGUCGCGUGAGGGAAGACGGUCUUACGGAUUGUAAACCUCUUUUGCCGGGGAGCAAAGGGCGCCACGCGUGGCGUUUCGAGAGUACCCGGAGAAAAGCAUCGGCUAACUCCGUGCCAGCAGCCGCGGUAAUACGGAGGAUGCGAGCGUUAUCCGGAUUUAUUGGGUUUAAAGGGUGCGUAGGCGGGCCGGUAAGUCAGCGGUAAAAUAGCGGGGCUCAACCCCGUCGAGCCGUUGAAACUGCCGGUCUUGAGUGGGCGAGAAGUGCGCGGAAUGCGUGGUGUAGCGGUGAAAUGCAUAGAUAUCACGCAGAACCUCGAUUGCGAAGGCAGCGCACCGGCGCCCUACUGACGCUGAAGCACGAAAGCGUGGGGAUCGAACAGGAUUAGAUACC